AACGAACGCUGGCGGCAGGCUUAACACAUGCAAGUCGAACGCCCCGCAAGGGGAGUGGCAGACGGGUGAGUAACGCGUGGGAAUCUACCUAGUUCUACGGAACAACAGAGGGAAACUUCUGCUAAUACCGUAUACGCCCUAAGGGGGAAAGAUUUAUCGGAAUUAGAUGAGCCCGCGUAAGAUUAGCUAGUUGGUGGGGUAAUGGCCUACCAAGGCGACGAUCUUUAGCUGGUCUGAGAGGAUGAUCAGCCACACUGGGACUGAGACACGGCCCAGACUCCUACGGGAGGCAGCAGUGGGGAAUAUUGGACAAUGGGCGAAAGCCUGAUCCAGCCAUGCCGCGUGAGUGAUGAAGGCCUUAGGGUUGUAAAGCUCUUUCAGUAGGGAAGAUAAUGACGGUACCUACAGAAGAAGCCCCGGCUAACCUCG
rnacentral:rRNA from 1 species